rnacentral:lncRNA from 1 species
UAAUCUUCUGCGAUGAAGAUCUGUUUUUUUUUUUUGCAAGAUGUUAUGCUAGCUUUGCUAAGGUAGGUAGUCGUCUUCUGGCUCUUGUAGAUAGCUGGAGGUGAAUGUGUAAUGCCUUUACGUUCCUGCAUUAUAAUCGAAUUAGAUGACAUUUCUGAAUUCUUUAGAUGACAUUUCUGUCUUUUGCUUUGACUGUUUACUGUUGGGUUUAUUUUAUCGCACCCUAUUCAGCUCCUUUACUUUACAGUAAUGGGGAGAAAAAAGGCAAUGGUUUCACUAGGGAAUACUGUGGAAGGCAAAUGUAAGUG